UACGUAGGGUGCGAGCGUUAAUCGGAAUUACUGGGCGUAAAGCGCACGUAGGCGGCGAUUUAAGUCAGAGGUGAAAGCCCGGGGCUCAACCCCGGAAUAGCCUUUGAGACUGGAUUGCUAGAAUCUUGGAGAGGCGAGUGGAAUUCCGAGUGUAGAGGUGAAAUUCGUAGAUAUUCGGAAGAACACCAGUGGCGAAGGCGGCUCGCUGGACAAGUAUUGACGCUGAGGUGCGAAAGCGUGGGGAGCAAACAGG
rnacentral:rRNA from 1 species